UACGGAGGAUGCAAGCGUUAUCCGGAAUGAUUGGGCGUAAAGCGUCCGCAGGUGGCUGUGUAAGUCUGCUGUCAAAGAGCAAAGCUCAACUUUGUAAAGGCAGUGGAAACUACACGGCUAGAGUACGUUCGGGGCAGAGGGAAUUCCUGGUGUAGCGGUGAAAUGCGUAGAGAUCAGGAAGAACACCGGUGGCGAAGGCGCUCUGCUAGGCCGUAACUGACACUGAGGGACGAAAGCUAGGGGAGCGAAUGGG
rnacentral:rRNA from 1 species